GGAGAGGUGCCGGAGCGGCCGAACGGGGCGCCCUGCUAAGGCGUUGACCAUUUUGUGGUUCGUGGGUUCAAAUCCCACCCUCUCCGCCA
rnacentral:tRNA from 1 species